AGCGAACGCUGGCGGCAGGCCUAACACAUGCAAGUCGAGCGGCCGUAGCAAUACGGCAGCGGCAGACGGGAGAGUAACACGUGGGAACGCGCCCUUCGGUCUGGAAUAACCCAGGGAAACUUGGGCUAAUACCGGAUACGCCCUUACGGGGAAAGAUUUAUUGCCGAAGGAACGGCCCGCGUCCGAUUAGCUAGUUGGUGAGGUAACGGCUCACCAAGGCGGUGAUGGGUAGCCGGCCUGAGAGGGUGGUCGGCCGCACUGGGACUGAGACACGGCCCAGACUCCUACGGGAGGCAGCAGUCGAGAAUCUUCCGCAAUAGGCGCAAGCCUGACGGAGCGACGCCGCGUGGAGGAUGAAGGCCCUAGGGUUGUAAAGCCCUUUCAGCGGGGAAGAUAAUGACGGUACCCGCAGAAGAAGCCCCGGCUAACUUCGUGCCAGCAGCCGCGGUAAGACAGGGGGUGCAAACGUUGCUCGGAAUCACUGGGCGUAAAGCGCACGUAGGCGGUCCUGUAAGUCAGGUGUGAAAGCCCUCGGCUCAACCGAGGAACUGCGUCUGAUACUGCAGGGCUCGAGGACGGGAGGAGAAGGUGGAAUUCCUGGUGGAGCGGUGAAAUGCGUAGAUAUCAGGAGGAACACCGGUGGCGAAAGCGACCUUCUGGUCCGUUCCUGACGCUGAGGUGCGAGAGCUAGGGGAGCAAACGGGAUUAGAUACCCCGGUAGUCCUAGCUGUAAACGAUGGGCACUAGGUAGAGGGAGAUUCCUAUGUCUCUCUCUGCCCGGAGCUAACGCGUUAAGUGCCCCGCCUGGGGAGUAUGCUCGCAAGGGUAAAACUCAAAGGAAUUGACGGGGGCUCACACAAGCGGUGGAGCAUGUGGUUCAAUUCGACGCAACGCGAAGAACCUCACCUGGGUUUGACAUGCACGGAUUAGGUGGCCGAAAGGUUGCUGAACGCCCGCAAGGGAGGAACGUGCACAGGUGCUGCAUGGCUGUCGUCAGCUCGUGUCGUGAGAUGUUGGGUUAAGUCCCGUAACGAGCGAAACCCUUGUCCUGAGUUGCGACCGGGUCAAGCCGAGCACUCUUAGGAGACUGCCGUUGUCAAGACGGAGGAAGGUGGGGAUGACGUCAAGUCAUCAUGGCCUUUAUACCCAGGGCUACACACGUGCUACAAUGGUCGGUACAACGGGUUCCGAGACCGCAAGGUGGAGGCAAUCCUUAAAACCGAUCCCAGUUCGGAUUGGAGGCUGCAAUUCGCCUCCAUGAAGCCGGAAUCGCUAGUAAUCGCGGAUCAGCUACGCCGCGGUGAAUAUGUUCCUGAGCCUUGUACACACCGCC
rnacentral:rRNA from 1 species